UACGAGGGGGGCGAGCGUUGUUCGGAAUUAUUGGGCGUAAAGGGUGCGUAGGCGGUUUGGUAAGUCUGAUGUGAAAUCUAUGGGCUCAACUCAUAGUCUGCAUCGGAAACUGCCGGGCUAGAGUGCGGAAGAGGCGAGUGGAAUUCCUGGUGUAGCGGUGAAAUGCGCAGAUAUCAGGAGGAACACCAAUUGCGAAGGCAGCUCGCUGGGACGUAACUGACGCUGAGACGCGAAAGCGUGGGGAGCAAACAGG
rnacentral:rRNA from 1 species